rnacentral:lncRNA from 1 species
UCCAUCCAAAGCUCUGCCUAGAAAACUACAGAAUCCAGAGCCGGAAGAAGGUUCUGCUGCCGCCCGCCACCCCCCAGCCAACAGGUGUCAGAUCAAGCUGAGAACCUGGGCCUCAUAGGACUGGAGAGUGUCCAGUGCCUGGCGGUCAGGCCUGGGACAGGGCUGUUGGCUGCUGCUGUAUUUGUGGCAGUGUUAGGACGUUCCUUAGUUCACACUACCUUAGAAAUCCAGAUGGAAAGGACCUUAGGCUGCGUGUCAGUUGGCCAGCACACUACCAAGAGUGGCCUCUCAGCCACAGCUCCUGCCCCUGACCCCCAGUGGCCUUGGAUUCCCAAAGGUGUCUGAACAGAAGCCUGGGGAGCAGGCUGGGUGUCAGAUCCCGGGGUUCUCCAACCUCAGCAAGCAUGUGGACCCCAGGUUCUGGCUCUAGGCUCCUGGGAGGAGUGUGCAUUGCUAACCUGCUCCUGGCGAUGCUGACAAGGGCCACACUUGGACAGCAUUGCUCACUGGGUCCCUUAAAUCCAGC